rnacentral:sRNA from 21 species
GUCAUGGACCCCGGUUUGAAAACUGGGGCUUGCAAGAAGUUUGAACGCUUCUUGUACCCCCAACGGUUGGCAAGCUGAAACAUGACCAGAUCCAGCCACCGCUCUUCUUCGGAGGAGCGAUGGGGCUACGUUAUCAGGAAGUGUCAACGUUCGUACCGGAGGAUGCGCGGCCAGUCUUCCGCUCUACA